rnacentral:rRNA from 1 species
UAGAGUUUGAUCCUGGCUCAGAUUGAACGCUGGCGGCAGGCCUAACACAUGCAAGUCGAGCGGAAACGAGUUAUCUGAACCUUCGGGGAACGGUAACGGCGUCGAGCGGCGGACGGGUGAGUAAUGCCUGGGAAAUUGCCCUGAUGUGGGGGAUAACCAUUGGAAACGAUGGCUAAUACCGCAUAAUAGCUUCGGCUCAAAGAGGGGGACCUUCGGGCCUCUCGCGUCAGGAUAUGCCCAGGUGGGAUUAGCUAGUUGGUGAGGUAAUGGCUCACCAAGGCGACGAUCCCUAGCUGGUCUGAGAGGAUGAUCAGCCACACUGGAACUGAGACACGGUCCAGACUCCUACGGGAGGCAGCAGUGGGGAAUAUUGCACAAUGGGCGCAAGCCUGAUGCAGCCAUGCCGCGUGUAUGAAGAAGGCCUUCGGGUUGUAAAGUACUUUCAGCCAGUGAGGAAGGUGGUAUGUGUUAAUAGCACUAUCAUUGAC